AAGCAGUUUCCCUGGUGUUCAGAGUGAUGUGGGACUGGGUGAAGAGACCAGAGUCUGGGAAGAGGGUGCAGCCCAAGAGAGUGAACAGGUGUCAGCUGGGUGGAGUCUGGAUCUCUGGUUCAGAGGAUAGCUCUGGAAAGGACACUGCAUUAGGGUGGAAUACCUUUCAGGGCCUAAGACAAGAAGAAACAAUAGGAAGGUUUGGAGACAAUGGGUGCAGUUGCAGGACUGGAGAGCAGAGUGGUCUUGAUGGAGUUUGGAUCCUUUUGCUCUCACCACAAAGAUGGCACAGUCUUU
rnacentral:lncRNA from 1 species